CAUAACCUGGUUGAUCCUGCCAGUAGUCAUAUGCUUGUCUCAAAGAUUAAGCCAUGCAUGUCUAAGUAUAAAUACCUUAUACUGUGAAACUGCGUAUGGCUCAUUAAAUCAGUUAUAGUUUAUUUGAUGAUACCUUACUACAUGGAUAACCGUAGUAAUUCUAGAGCUAAUACAUGCGUCAAGUCCCGACUCUUU
rnacentral:rRNA from 1 species